rnacentral:rRNA from 1 species
GAUGAACGCUGGCGGCGUGCCUAAUACAUGCAAGUCGAGCGAACAGACGAGGAGCUUGCUCCUUCGACGUUAGCGGCGGACGGGUGAGUAACACGUAGGUAACCUACCUAUAAGACUGGGAUAACUUCGGGAAACCGGAGCUAAUACCGGAUAAUAUUUCGAACCGCAUGGUUCGAUAGUGAAAGAUGGCUUUGCUAUCACUUAUAGAUGGACCUGCGCCGUAUUAGCUAGUUGGUAAGGUAACGGCUUACCAAGGCAACGAUACGUAGCCGACCUGAGAGGGGGAGCGGGCACAGGGGAACUUAGACAGGGGGGAGACAGGCGCGGGAGGCCGCCGUGGGGUAGGUUCCGCAAUUGGCGAAAUGAUAAAGGGGAAAAGUAGGGUGAGUGAAGAAGGUAAUCCGGUCGUAAAAGUCUGGUCUUAAGGAAGAAAAAACGGGUAAGUAACUGUGAAGGUCGUGGCGGUAACUAAUCCGAAAGCCACGGCUAACCACGU